UACGUAGGGAGCAAGCGUUGUCCGGAAUCAUUGGGCGUAAAGCGCGCGUAGGUGGCCUCAUAAGUCCGCUGUGAAAGUCAAAGGCUCAACCUUUGAAAGCCGGUGGAUACUGUGAGGCUAGAGUACGGAAGAGGCGAGUGGACUUCCUGGUGUAGCGGUGGAAUGCGCGGAUAUCAGGAGGAACACCAAUAGCGAAGGCAGCUCGCUGGGACGUUACUGACACUGAGGCGCGAAAGCGUGGGGAGCGAACAGG
rnacentral:rRNA from 1 species